rnacentral:rRNA from 1 species
AUGCCGGUGUGCCUGCACGUGUUCCACACCGAGUGCAUCGACCGGUGGCUGCGCUCGCACGCGACGUGCCCGAUUUGCCGGUGCAGCGUGUUCACCCCGCCGGAACGCCCACCGGAAGUAGUGUUGAACGUGGAGUUGUGA